rnacentral:sRNA from 1 species
CCGAUGACUGGGAGACUGACCCCGAUUUUGUGAAUGAUGUGAGUGAGAAGGAGCAAAGAUGGGGUGCCAAGACGGUGCAGGGCUCCGGGCACCAGGAGCAUAUCAACAUACACAAGCUGAGGGAGAAUGUCUUUCAAGAGCAUCAGACCCUUAAGGAGAAGGAGCUUGAAACAGGACCAAAAGCCUCCCACGGCUAUGGAGGGAAAUUUGGUGUGGAACAAGACCGAAUGGAUAAGUCAGCUGUCGGCCACGAAUAUCAGUCGAAACUUUCCAAGCACUGCUCGCAGGUGGACUCGGUCCGUGGCUUCGGAGGCAAGUUUGGUGUCCAGAUGGACAGAGUUGAUCAGUCUGCCGUAGGCUUUGAAUACCAGGGGAAGACUGAGAAGCACGCCUCCCAGAAAGACUACUCCAGUGGUUUUGGCGGCAAGUACGGCGUGCAGGCCGACCGAGUAGACAAGAGCGCGGUGGGCUUCGACUACCAGGGCAAGACAGAGAAGCACGAGUCACAGAGAGAUUACUCCAAAGGUUUCGGCGGCAAAUACGGUAUCGACAAGGACAAAGUGGAUAAGAGCGCCGUCGGCUUUGAGUAUCAAGGCAAAACGGAGAAGCACGAGUCCCAGAAAGGUGUCUUCCAUUUUAUCUUACCCUCCAGCCAGCAGCUAGUAAUGUGACAGGUGGUAGCCACACCGGAAAAGGAAAAACAAAGCAUUAUUGAUAGCCCUUAACGUAGAUGUCUCUUUUUCAUUAAAUAUCCAACUUGAAAACGGCACAUCCAGAAACACAGCUGCUAAAUAAGAACUCGCAGCUUGAGUGUUUUGGCGCUCCAGCCCCAGCGGCGUUGCUUAUCGUGGUGGCCACACCCCGCACGUCUGUGUUGCCCGUGUGAGCCUGUGCUGCCUCGUGGUGCGGGUGGAAGCCGCAUGCCUGGGAGCUUCUGUGGGGUCCUGUCUGGCUUAGUCACGAUGCUGAGGUCAUAGACUAAUUUAUUUCCUGCCACUCUCCAAGGAGGGCCUCUUCAUGG